GACGAACGCUGGCGGCGUGCUUAACACAUGCAAGUCGAACGCUGAAGCUCAGCUUUUGUUGGGUGGAUGAGUGGCGAACGGGUGAGUAACACGUGAGUAACCUGCCUCCUUCUUUGGGAUAACGCCCGGAAACGGGUGCUAAUACUGGAUAUUCACUGGUCUUCGCAUGGGGGUUGGUGGAAAGGGUUUUUCUGGUGGGGGAUGGGCUCGCGGCCUAUCAGCUUGUUGGUGGGGUGAUGGCCUACCAAGGCUUUGACGGGUAGCCGGCCUGAGAGGGUGACGGGUCACAUUGGGACUGAGAUACGGCCCAGACUCCUACGGGAGGCAGCAGUGGGGAAUAUUGCACAAUGGGCGCAAGCCUGAUGCAGCGACGCCGCGUGAGGGAUGGAGGCCUUCGGGUUGUGAACCUCUUUCGCUCAUGGUCAAGCCGCAACAAUGGUUGUGGUGAGGGUAGUGGGUAAAGAAGCGCCGGCUAACUACGUG
rnacentral:rRNA from 1 species